rnacentral:rRNA from 1 species
AGGGGGAUAACAGUCAGAAAUGGCUGCUAAUACCGCAUAAGCGCACAGAGCUGCAUGGCUCAGUGUGAAAAACUCCGGUGGUAUAAGAUGGACCCGCGUUGGAUUAGCUAGUUGGUGGGGUAACGGCCCACCAAGGCGACGAUCCAUAGCCGGCCUGAGAGGGUGAACGGCCACAUUGGGACUGAGACACGGCCCAGACUCCUACGGGAGGCAGCAGUGGGGAAUAUUGCACAAUGGGGGAAACCCUGAUGCAGCGACGCCGCGUGAAGGAAGAAGUAUCUCGGUAUGUAAACUUCUAUCAGCAGGGAAGAUAGUGACGGUACCUGACUAAGAAGCCCCGGCUAACUACGUGCCAGCAGCCGCGGUAAUACGUAGGGGGCAAGCGUUAUCCGGAUUUACUGGGUGUAAAGGGAGCGUAGACGGUGUGGCAAGUCUGAUGUGAAAGGCAUGGGCUCAACCUGUGGACUGCAUUGGAAACUGGUAGACUUGAGUAUUGGAGAGGCAAGUGGAAUUCCUAGUGUAGCGGUGAAAUGCGUAGAUAUUAGGAGGAACACCAGUGGCGAAGGCGGCUUGCUGGACAAAUA